CCUACGGGAGGCAGCAGUGGGGAAUAUUGGGCAAUGGGCGCAAGCCUGACCCAGCAACGCCGCGUGAAGGAAGAAGGCUUUCGGGUUGUAAACUUCUUUUGUCAGGGAAGAGUAGAAGACGGUACCUGACGAAUAAGCCACGGCUAACUACGUGCCAGCAGCCGCGGUAAUACGUAGGUGGCAAGCGUUGGCCGGAUUUACUGGGUGUAAAGGGCGUGUAGCCGGGUUGACAAGUCAGAUGUGAAAUCCUGCGGCUUAACCGCAGAACGGAAUUUGAAACUGUUGAUCUUGAGUACUGGAGAGGCAGCCGGAAUUCCUAGUGUAGCGGUGAAAUGCGUAGAUAUUAGGAGGAACCCCAGUGGCGACGGCGGUCUGCUGGACAGCAACUGACGGUGAGGCGCGAAAGCGUGGGGAGCAAACAGGAUUAGAUACCCUAGUAGUC
rnacentral:rRNA from 1 species